rnacentral:lncRNA from 1 species
GCAAGUUUUAAAAUUGUUUUUGAGUGAAUUAAACUUAUUUUAACAAUCAUGAAGCGUUCCAGAAUCAUUUUAAAGCAGUUUCUUCUUCUCUUUGGUGAUGGAAAAUAGGUUUUCUCAAGAAAAUACCGCAAACGAUCGCAGAGGAAUUGAAACGUACAAGUCAAGUCGGCACCUGGUUAAAUUGGCAUCUAGUCAAAUCGGCACCUAUUCGACGUCAAUUCGGCAUCCAAUAAUAUUUGAUAUAAUAUUUUCUAUUCAAUUAAUUAAUUACUGUUACCAAGUACAUAGUGAAUAUGUUGUUGUGUAUUUCGGUAAACCACGAAACGAAAGUGAA